rnacentral:lncRNA from 1 species
UGACACCAGACACUACAACUCAACGGUUUAUCUGCGUCAGAGGAGAACCUACAACACACGUUGUCACUUUGGGGAGAUCUCCAGCACACACACACACACACGCACGCACACACACACACACACACACACACACACACACACACACACACGGGGGGGGGGGAUCAGAUGGCGUCUCCUGCUCUGGCUGAUGUAGCGUUAGAAGGAGGCCGAGUGGAGCUGUAAAAAGCAGAGACUUGAUCUGGAGUCUGACAGGUGUUCUCCGUCAGAGCGCUAGGCCUCGUCGCACACGGCCGGCGAGUCGUGUAAAGACCGCGUGCGUCACUUCCUCACGUGGUUGUCAUUCCACUCCGUCAGCCUGGAUCAACAAUAAACAUGAAGCUCUGCUCUGAGCUUCUGUCAACACAAGCCUUUUCCCAUCAUUCCUCGCUGGACUCCCUGGCACCAGAGUCUGGCGCUGGAGGAAGAUCUACAUCCAAGAUAUGGAGCCGGAUAAAACCCCACCCAGGAGAUCAUGCAUCAGAGCAGCCACAGCUGGCAGUCCGCUGCACUGUUGUUUACAUGUGGAACAUGACAUGAUACAAGUUAGUCGGAGAGUCUGGAGGAGCAAAAUCAGCCACUAAUGAUCAUGUUUCUGUUCAGACUGACACAAGUAGACUUCAUGAGGGUGAAAUGAUGGCCCAACAUGUCCAGGAGCACCCUGUGGAGAACGUUCUACUGCCUGCUACAUCACCC